rnacentral:tRNA from 1 species
AGCUCAACUGGAUAGAGCACCGGUCUUCGGAACCGGGGGUUGGGGGUUCGAAUCCCUCCGGGUGUA